AGUUUAUUUUCUUUGUAUAAAAAAUAAGGUUAAGAUGAACCAAAUAAAUAAUAAAAAUAGACGACGAAUGUUUAUGGCUUCGUUUGGUUCAAGAAUAAGUAAGAACUAGUUAUACCGGGGACAUGUACAAGAAUGAAUUUUCAUAGGAAUAAAGUUAUUUUUUUGUUUGGAUGAAAAUGUGAGUAUAAGCUGGAACUAGAAAAAUUAUGUUUGGAUGAAAAUCUGAGUAUAAUGUGGAAUAGUUGAUAGUUAUAGAUAGAAAAUAAUAAUUUUACCUCUAUAAUUGAAUUUAACAUUUUAAACUAAUAAUUUUAAAUUAAAAAUUUUAACUUUUAACUUUUAAAAUUUGAAAUUAAAAUUAAAACUUAUAAUUUUCAAAAUUUAAAUUUUAAAUAUCAAAUUUUAAAUU
rnacentral:lncRNA from 1 species